rnacentral:rRNA from 1 species
CCUACGGGCGGCAGCAGUGAGGAAUAUUGGUCAAUGGACGAGAGUCUGAACCAGCCAAGUAGCGUGAAGGAUGACUGCCCUAUGGGUUGUAAACUUCUUUUAUAUGGGAAUAAAAUGUUCCACGUGUGGGAUUUUGUAUGUACCAUAUGAAUAAGGAUCGGCUAACUCCGUGCCAGCAGCCGCGGUAAUACGGAGGAUCCGAGCGUUAUCCGGAUUGAUUGGGUUUAAAGGGAGCGUAGGUGGAUUGUUAAGUCAGUUGUGAAAGUUUGCGGCUCAACCGUAAAAUUGCAGUUGAAACUGGCAGUCUUGAGUACAGUAGAGGUGAGCGGAAUUCGUGGUGUAGCGGUGAAAUGCUUAGAUAUCACGAAGAACUCCGAUUGCGAAGGCAGCUCACUGGACUGCAACUGACACUGAGGCUCGAAAGUGUGGGUAUCAAACAGGAUUAGAUACCCGUGUAGUC